GGGCGGUAACACAGAGGAGCUUGCUCCUUGGGUGACGAGCGGCGGACGGGUGAGUAAAGUCUGGGGAUCUGCCUGAUGGAGGGGGAUAACUACUGGAAACGGUAGCUAAUACCGCAUGACGUCUUCGGACCAAAGUGGGGGACCUUCGGGCCUCACGCCAUGAGAUGAACCCAGAUGGGAUUAGCUGGUAGGUGAGGUAACGGCUCACCUAGGCGACGAUCCCUAGCUGGUCUGAGAGGAUGACCAGCCACACUGGAACUGAGACACGGUCCAGACUCCUACGGGAGGCAGCAGUGGGGAAUAUUGCACAAUGGGGGAAACCCUGAUGCAGCCAUGCCGCGUGUGUGAAGAAGGCCUUCGGGUUGUAAAGCACUUUCAGCGGGGAGGAAGGCAAUAAACUUAAUAAGUUUGUUGAUUGACGUUACCCGCAGAAGAAGCACCGGCUAACUCCGUGCCAGCAGCCGCGGUAAUACGGAGGGUGCAAGCGUUAAUCGGAAUGACUGGGCGUAAAGCGCACGCAGGCGGUCUGUUAAGUUGGAUGUGAAAUCCCCGGGCUCAACCCGGGAACAGCAUUCAAAACUGACAGGCUAGAGUCUCGUAGAGGGGGGUAGAAUUCCAGGUGUAGCGGUGAAAUGCGUAGAGAUCUGGAGGAAUACCGGUGGCGAAGGCGGCCCCCUGGACGAAGACUGACGCUCAGGUGCGAAAGCGUGGGGAGCAAACAGGAUUAGAUACCCUGGUAGUCCACGCCGUAAACGAUGUCGACUUGGAGGCUGUGGUCUUGAACCGUGGCUUCCGGAGCUAACGCGUUAAGUCGACCGCCUGGGGAGUACGGCCGCAAGGUUAAAACUCAAAUGAAUUGACGGGGGCCCGCACAAGCGGUGGAGCAUGUGGUUUAAUUCGAUGCAACGCGAAGAACCUUACCUACUCUUGACAUCCAGAGAAGACUGUAGAGAUACGGUUGUGCCUUCGGGAGCUCUGAGACAGGUGCUGCAUGGCUGUCGUCAGCUCGUGUUGUGAAAUGUUGGGUUAAGUCCCGCAACGAGCGCAACCCUUAUCCUUUGUUGCCAGCGAUACGGUCGGGAACUCAAAGGAGACUGCCGGUGAUAAACCGGAGGAAGGUGGGGAUGACGUCAAGUCAUCAUGGCCCUUACGAGUAGGGCUACACACGUGCUACAAUGGCGCAUACAAAGAGAAGCGAGCCUGCGAGGGUGAGCGGACCUCAUAAAGUGCGUCGUAGUCCGGAUUGGAGUCUGCAACUCGACUCCAUGAAGUCGGAAUCGCUAGUAAUCGUAGAUCAGAAUGCUACGGUGAAUACGUUCCCGGGCCUUGUACACACCGCCCGUCACACCAUGGGAGUGGGUUGCAAAAGAAGUAGGUAGCUUAACCUUA
rnacentral:rRNA from 1 species